ACGGGGUAUUGCCUCAGUAACGGCGAGUGAAGCGGCAAAAGCUCAAAUUUGAAAUCUGGCACCUUCGGUGUCCGAGUUGUAAUUUGAAGAAGGUAACUUUGGAGUUGGCUCUUGUCUAUGUUCCUUGGAACAGGACGUCACAGAGGGUGAGAAUCCCGUGCGAUGAGAUGCCCAAUUCUAUGUAAAGUGCUUUCGAAGAGUCGAGUUGUUUGGGAAUGCAGCUCUAAGUGGGUGGUAAAUUCCAUCUAAAGCUAAAUAUUGGCGAGAGACCGAUAGCGAACAAGUACAGUGAUGGAAAGAUGAAAAGAACUUUGAAAAGAGAGUGAAAAAGUACGUGAAAUUGUUGAAAGGGAAGGGCUUGAGAUCAGACUUGGUAUUUUGCAAGCCUUACCUUCGUGGUGGGGUCCCCUGCAGUUUACUGGGCCAGCAUCGGUUUGGAUGGUAGGAUAAUGACUUGGGAAUGUGACUUUGCUUCGGUAAAGUGUUAUAGCCCUUGUUGAUACUGCCUGUCUAGACCGAGGACUGCGUCUUUGACUAGGAUGCUGGCAUAAUGAUCUUAAGUCGCCCGUCUUAAAMMMCGRACACA
rnacentral:rRNA from 1 species